GGCGCUGCUAUACAUGCAGUCGAGCGAAUGGAUUGAGAGCUUGCUCUCAAGAAGUUAGCGGCGGACGGGUGAGUAACACGUGGGUAACCUGCCCAUAAGACUGGGAUAACUCCGGGUAACCGGGGCUAAUACCGGAUAACAUUUUGAACCGCAUGGUUCGAAAUUGAAAGGCGGCUUCGGCUGUCACUUAUGGAUGGACCCGCGUCGCAUUAGCUAGUUGGUGAGGUAACGGCUCACCAAGGCAACGAUGCGUAGCCGACCUGAGAGGGUGAUCGGCCACACUGGGACUGAGACACGGCCCAGACUCCUACGGGAGGCAGCAGUAGGGAAUCUUCCGCAAUGGACGAAAGUCUGACGGAGCAACGCCGCGUGAGUGAUGAAGGCUUU
rnacentral:rRNA from 2 species